UCUAGAAAGAUCCUACGGGUGGCUGCAGUCGAGAAUUUUUCACAAUGGGCGCAAGCUUGAUGGAGCGACGCCGCGUGGGGGAUGAAUGGCUUCGGCCCGUAAACCCCUGUCAUUCGCGAUCAACCCUUAUUAUUUAAAAGAUGAUGAGCUAAUAGUAGCGGAAGAGGAAGGGACGGCUAACUCUGUGCCAGCAGCCGCGGUAAUACAGAGGUCCCAAGCGUUGUUCGGAUUCACUGGGCGUAAAGGGUGCGUAGGUGGUGAGGUAAGUCGGAUGUGAAAUCUCGGAGCUCAACUCCGAAAUGGCAUUGGAAACUACCUCGCUCGAGGGUUGGAGGGGGGACUGGAAUACUUGGUGUAGCAGUGAAAUGCGUAGAUAUCAAGUGGAACACCAGUGGCGAAGGCGAGUCCCUGGACAACUCCUGACACUGAGGCACGAAAGCUAGGGGAGCAAACAGGAUUAGAUACCCUUGUAGUC
rnacentral:rRNA from 1 species